CAGCCGCCGCGGGAAUACGAAGGGGGCUAGCGUUGUUCGGAAUUACUGGGCGUAAAGCGCACGUAGGCGGAUAUUUAAGUCAGGGGUGAAAUCCCAGAGCUCAACUCUGGAACUGCCUUUGAUACUGGGUAUCUUGAGUAUGGAAGAGGUGAGUGGAAUUCCGAGUGUAGAGGUGAAAUUCGUAGAUAUUCGGAGGAACACCAGUGGCGAAGGCGACACUCUGGUCUGUAACUGACGCUGAGGAGCGAAAGCGUGGGGAGCGAACAGGAUUAGAUACCCCUGUAGUCCCUGUCUCUUAUAC
rnacentral:rRNA from 1 species